GACGAUUUCACGAAAGAGGCUGUCGACAUCGUCGUCGACCAUGGCAUCUCAGGUUUGUAUGUCGCUCGGGCAUUGGACCGUGCAGCUCGCUUCCGUGGCUAUCCCAAGGCGGUGCGAACAGAC
rnacentral:rRNA from 1 species